UUUCCGUAGGUGAACCUGCGGAAGGAUCAUUGUCGAGACCAAACGAAUAUUGAGCGAUUCAGAGAACCCGUGAAUAAAAGUGGCGGCAGUUGUUGUCACAGAAUAAUCGUCUUAUUCAUUGCCCCAUCUCUUUUGGGAAGGGGGAAUGAUGAAGGGCGUAUGAAAAAACUCAAACCGGCGCAGUUUCGCGCCAAAAGAAUAUAACAAAUACACAAGCCCGUGAUUGGACUUAGUGGCAUGGAGUGCUGAUGCACACCAUAUGGAUUAACAUGACUCUCGGCAAUGGAUAUCUCGGCUCUC
rnacentral:misc_RNA from 1 species